AUGUAAAAUAAAUAAAUAAACGAGUGCGGCUAGUAUGCUUAUGGAAGGACGGAGGCCUCCGUGCUUCCAAUUUGUUUUCGAUGUUGGGACUUUCGAAUCGACGAUCGGCUCCGUUAGACUUGAUCUAGAGUAUUUAAAGUAUCUAGAAAAUAAAUUUUGCGAUUUUUCGAUAUCAUUUGCCUAGUGAUCGAAGGGGCUCAAAAUCAACGGCUGAAAAUAAAAAUAUCACAAAAUGUGAUGAUAUGACAUUAAAAAUUUAGAUCAAAGAUANGCUGAAAAUAAAAAUAUCACAAAAUGUGAUGAUAUGACAUUAAAAAUUUAGAUCAAAGAUAUUGAUCUUAUUUUAUAUAGUAUAAAGAAUUUUCUAUCAAAAUUUUACGUGAUUUGGAUAUUUCUACACCGUUAAACUUGCAACCGGCUCACCACGGCCAUUAAAAUUAUUGAUUUUGAGCCCCUUUGAUCACUGGGCAAAUGAUAUCGAAAAAUCGUGAAAUUUAUUUUCUAGAUACUUCAAAUACUCUAGAUCAACUCUAACGGUACUGAUCGUCGAUUCGAAAAUCCGAACAUCGAAAAUAACUUAGAAGCAUGGAGACCUCCGUGCUUCCAUAAGCAUACCAGCGCAACUCUAAAUAAACAGGCUACAUAGCCUAGCCUAUGACUUGGUUUGUGAAUUGCUAGUCAAUAUAUAUAUAUCCUAUGUAUUCUAGUUUAUUAUUAUUUUUUUUACUUUUAAAUUUAGCUUUGAUUACUUAAUUUUGUGUGCUAAUUACAGCAAUUAAUGAAGAACAAAUACCGAGCUUAAUUACUGUAAUUAACUCUUGGCUAUUUAUUAUUGAGCUAAAAUAGAUUCAACUUUCUGUCCCAUAAUAAUAGUUCGGGAGACUAAUAAGUUGAGUUAGGUGAGCCUAAUAAGUUAAGUGGCAUUGCGGUCCACAAGAAACCUAACAGCAAAGGUCCAACAAUAAACCUAACGUGCAUAUAGAUUGAGUUAGGUCGAAACCCGUAAACGUUAUGGUUAAGCCCUUAAGUGCGAUGGGUGCGCCAUGUCUAUCAGCACGUACUUUUAGAAUAGUUGGUUGGCGCUUAGCAUUAACGAGUAGCAAUUAAUUAAUUAAUUACAAUGCUUGACUAAAAUUGAAUAUCUAAUUAGAAGUAUCGCUAUAGUCAAAAGAUUAAGCUAGAUAGCAUAGCUAAGGGCUGUUUGUUUCCUCAAGAAAAUGUAGAAAAAAAGUAUUGAAAAAGAAUUUUAUAAAUUUUUUUUUGAGCAAUGCUCCUAUGCACCAAAAAGAUCGCGGCUUUUAAAUUUUUUAAAAUGAAUGGUUGAGAUGUCUUUUAGUUAAGAGGGUGACUGGCUUUUGUUGUCAUAAGUACCAGUCACCCUUCUAUCAAGGGUAAAUUAUUUCCUCAUAUGUAAAUUUAGCAUGAAGGGCUUUUUUGUAAAUUUUUAUUUUCAUUCCCAUAAUGCCCUUAUAGUAAUUUGGUAAGAUAUCCCAUUUUAUUUUUAAAAACUUUUCAGCCACAGAUAUUUUUCUCGAAGCUAUUUUACCCUUUUUUUUUUCUUU
rnacentral:lncRNA from 1 species